CCUUAUGAGAUUAAUGAGCUAGUAACCUGAGAUUUACUGCAAAUGUUCACCUUCCUACUACUCUGUGCCACAGUGUCAAAUGGAGAUAUUAUUCUCACCCAGUCUCCAGAAUCUUUGGCCAUAUCUCAAGGGGAAAAGGUCACCAUCACCUGCAGUGCCAGCUCAAGUAUAAGCUCCAAUUACUUGCACUGGUACCAACAAAAACCAGGAGCCUCACCUAACCUCAUGGUUUAUAGUUCAUCCUACCGAGCCUCUGGAGUACCAAGUCGCUUCAGUGGCAGUGGGUCGGGAACCUCUUACUCCUUCGAAAUCAGCAGCAUUGAGCCUGAAGAUGCUGCCACUUACUACUGUAUUCAGGGGAGUGGUAGACCACUCACACAGUGCUACAGACUGGAACAAAAAACCUUUACCUCCCUAGGGCAAAGCUACUUCCUACUAGACACGAAAUGUGGGCCAAGGGUACAAGUAACAUGGGGAAGAAGCUCCAAGAUUUUCUUUAGGGUAGUCAAGAGAACCCAGUUGUCCACAAAAUGA